UCGACGAGAGGACAUGGGAAGCUUGCUUCCUAUGAAAUCGAGUGGCAAACGGGUGAGUAACGCGUAAACAACCUGCCCUUCGGAUGGGGAUAACAGCCGGAAACGGCUGCUAAUACCGAAUACGAUCUUUUCGUCGCAUGACGGAAAGAAGAAAGGAUGGCCUCUAUACAAAGCUAUCGCCGAAGGAGGGGUUUGCGUCUGAUUAGCUGGUUGGAGGGGUAACGGCCCAACAAGGCGAUGAUCAGUAGCCGGUCUGAGAGGAUGAACGGCCACAUUGGGACUGAGACACGGCCCAGACUCCUACGGGAGGCAGCAGUGGGGAAUCUUCCGCAAUGGACGAAAGUCUGACGGAGCAACGCCGCGUGAGUGAAGAAGGUCUUCGGAUUGUAAAGCUCUGUUAUACGGGACGAAAAAGACGGAUGCCAACAGUAUCCGUCCGUGACGGUACCGUAAGAGAAAGCCACGGCUAACUACGUGCCAGCAGCCGCGGUAAUACGUAGGUGGCAAGCGUUGUCCGGAAUUAUUGGGCGUAAAGGGCGCGCAGGCGGUUCGGUAAGUCUGUCUUAAAAGUGCGGGGCUUAACCCCGUGAGGGGACGGAAACUGUCGAACUUGAGUGUCGGAGAGGAAAGCGGAAUUCCUAGUGUAGCGGUG
rnacentral:rRNA from 1 species